CAGUAGGGAAUAUUGGUCAAUGGGUGCAAGCCUGAACCAGCCAUGCCGCGUGCAGGAAGAAGGCCUUCUGGGUUGUAAACUGCUUUUACCAGGGGAUAAAACGAUCUUGCGAGAUUAAUUGAAGGUACCUGGUGAAUAAGCCACGGCUAACUACGUGCCAGCAGCCGCGGUAAUACGUAGGUGGCAAGCGUUGUCCGGAUUUAUUGGGUUUAAAGGGUGCGUAGGCGGCCCUGUAAGUCAGUGCUGAAAUACCCCGGCUUAACCGGGGGGGUGGCAUUGAUACUGCAGGGCUUGAGUACAGAUGAGGUAGGCGGAAUUGACGGUGUAGCGGUGAAAUGCAUAGAUAUCGUCAAGAACACCUAUAGCGAAGGCAGCUUACUGGGCUGUAACUGACGCUGAGGCACGAAAGUGUGGGGAUCAAACAGGAUUAGA
rnacentral:rRNA from 1 species